rnacentral:snoRNA from 1 species
GUAAGUGACGAGAAAAAUGCUGUGCACCAGUCUGAACAAGUACUAAAUCUUUGUACUCUAGUACUAUGAAGCAUCAAGUAUACCCAAAUUUCUGAUA